CGGGAAAAGCUCAAAUUUGAAAUCUGGCGGCUCCGCCGUCCGAGUUGUAUUCUGGAGAAGCGUCUUCCGUGCCGGACCGUGUACAAGUCCCUUGGAACAGGGCGUCAUAGAGGGUGAGAAUCCCGUCUUUGACACGGACUGCCGGUGCUCUGUGAUGCGCUCUCGAA
rnacentral:rRNA from 1 species